rnacentral:tRNA from 1 species
UCCCUCGUAGCUCAGUCGGUAAAGAAUCUGCCUAUGAGGCAGAAGAUCCGGGUUCUAUUCCUGGGUUGGGAA